rnacentral:rRNA from 1 species
AUGUACAUUCCUAUGACGUUAAUGCACUAGAAUCCAUCAUAAAUCCAUAGUUAAAUGUGUUUUCCCUAUAUUAGUACUAGGAUAGGUGACCUCCCAAGAAGUCCUAGUGUUUUACAUG